UACGGAGGGGGCUAGCGUUGUUCGGAAUUACUGGGCGUAAAGCGCACGUAGGCGGCUUUGUAAGUUCGAGGUGGAAGCCCGGAGCUCAACUCCGGAAUUGCCUUUAAGACUGCAUCGCUUGAAUCAUGGAGAGGUGAGUGGAAUUCCGAGUGUAGAGGUGAAAUUCGUAGAUAUUCGGAAGAACACCAGUGGCGAAGGCGACUCACUGGACAUGUAUUGACGCUGAGGUGCGAAAGCGUGGGGAGCAAACAGG
rnacentral:rRNA from 1 species